AGCUCCAAUAGCGUAUAUUAAAGUUGUUGUGGUUAAAAAGCUCGUAGUUGGAUUUCGGCGGGUAGUGGUUGGUUUGAAUUGAUUCAACACUGACUUUUUUACCCUGGGGUUUUGCCAGAAUUUUCCGGGGGAUUUUUCCCGUUUUUCCGUUGGAACUGGCAGGUUUACUUUGAAAAAAUUAGAGUGCUCAAAGCAAGCUUACUGCUUGAAUAGUUGCGCAUGGAAUAAUAGAAUAGGAAGUCGUUUCUAUUUUGUUGGUUUUCGGAAAUCGACUUAAUGAUUAAUAGGGAUAGUCGGGGGCAUUCGUAUUCAAACGACAGAGGUGAAAUUCUUGGACCGUUUGAAGACGAACUAAGGCGAAAGCAUUUGCCAAGAAUGUUUUCA
rnacentral:rRNA from 1 species